GGGCACGUGGCGUAGUGGUAUCGCGUUUGCUUCGCACUAUCUUCGGAGUUCUCUGAAGGCGACGAUUGUAAAAGGUCUCCGGUUCAAUCCCGGACGUGUCCA